rnacentral:rRNA from 1 species
CAUAUCAAUAAGCGGAGGAAAAGAAACUAACAAGGAUUCCCCUAGUAACUGCGAGUGAAGCGGGAAAAGCUCAAAUUUAAAAUCUGGCAGUCUUUGGCUGUCCGAGUUGUAAUCUAGAGAAGUGUUAUCCGCGCUGGACCGUGUACAAGUCUCCUGGAAUGGAGCGUCAUAGAGGGUGAGAAUCCCGUCUUUGACACGGACUGCCAGGGCUUUGUGAUGCGCUCUCAAAGAGUCGAGUUGUUUGGGAAUGCAGCUCAAAAUGGGUGGUAAAUUCCAUCUAAAGCUAAAUAUUGGCGAGAGACCGAUAGCGAACAAGUACCGUGAGGGAAAGAUGAAAAGAACUUUGGAAAGAGAGUUAAACAGUACGUGAAAUUGCUGAAAGGGAAACGCUUGAAGUCAGUCGCGUUGGCCAGGGAUCAACCUUGCUUUUGCUUGGUGUACUUUCUGGUUGACGGGUCAACAUCAAUUUUGACUAUUGGAAAAAGAUUAAGGGAAUGUGGCAUCUUCGGAUGUGUUAUAGCCCUUGGUUGCAUACAAUGGUUGGGAUUGAGGAACUCAGCACGCCGCAAGGCCGGGUUUUUAACCACGUACGUGCUUAGGAUGUUGGCAUAAUGGCUUUAAUCGACCCGUCUUGAAACACGGACCAAGGAGUCUAACAUACCUGCGAGUGUUUGGGUGGAAAACCCGAGCGCGUAAUGAAAGUGAAAGUUGAGAUCCCUGUCGUGGGGAGCAUCGACGCCCGGACCAGACCUUUUGUGACGGUUCCGCGGUAGAGCAUGUAUGUUGGGACCCGAAAGAUGGUGAACUAUGCCUGAAUAGGGUGAAGCCAGAGGAAACUCUGGUGGAGGCUCGUAGCGAUUCUGACGUGCAAAUCGAUCGUCAAAUUUGGGUAUAGGGGCGAAAGACUAAUCGAACCAUCUAGUAGCUGGUUCCUGCC